CUCACUGAAGUUUCUGUAGAGGUUCUGUGCUUUCUGGAACAACAUGUUGCUGUCAGUUGGGCUAUGUUUUCUAUUUAUGUCCUGCACCCAUAGCCUUAACGUCUUUUCUGUCCUCAUUAACCAUUCACCGUGCAUCGUGGCUCUAACUUCUGCAGUUUGAGAAACUCAGGAGUCCCAAGGACAUAUCCAAGGCCCAUACAUCUGUUUGUCCAUCUAUCAAAUCAGGCUGUGGAAGUGAUUUGCUGCUCCGUGACAGAGACACCCAGAGAGGAACUUGCUAGUAUGGGAUGGGGCUGGCAUUUGGACCCAGACCUUCAGACUGCAGAGCAGUAUGGUGUGUGACCUCAAGGAGAGACAGCUCCGUAUAAGAAGGCAGACACAGACAGGGAGUGGACUUUUGAAGAGAACACCGAAGCCUCUCAUGCCCAGAGUAUGCUUAUUGAGGAUCAAAAAAACGGGGUUAUGAAAACCAAAAUGUCCAGGAAAGAACAGACAGUUUCCUUGUUAAAGUCAAGGGCUGUGAGGCUCGCUGAUCUUUUCAGUCAAGCUCCUUUCUUAG
ensembl:lncRNA